rnacentral:rRNA from 1 species
AUUGAACGCUGGCGGCAGGCCUAACACAUGCAAGUCGAACGAGUGGCGGACGGGUGAGUAAUGUAUGGGGAUCUGCCCGAUGGAGGGGGAUAACUACGGGAAACUGUAGCUAAUACCGCAUACCAUCGGAUGAGCCCAAAUGGGAUUAGGUAGUAGGUGGGGUAAAGGCUCACCAAGCCGACGAUCUCUAGCUGGUCUGAGAGGAUGACCAGCCACACUGGGACUGAGACACGGCCCAGACUCCUACGGGAGGCAGCAGUGGGGAAUAUUGCGCAAUGGGCGCAACCCUGAUGCAGCCAUGCCGCGUGAAUGAAGAAGGCCUUCGGGUUGUAAAGUACUUUCAGCGGGGAGGCGUUACCCACAGAAGAAGCACCGGCUAACUCCGUGCCAGCAGCCGCGGUAAUUC